CCAUAAGCAGGCUUUAUUAAACAGUUCUCGUGGUCAAACAGGCAAGGGUCAAACAGUGGCAAACAGGUACAGCAGGGAAAAGACAGAAUCGUGGUCGUAGAACAGGCAGUAGAUCAGGGCAGGCAGAUAUCAAUCACAAGUCCAAUACAGAGCAAAUAGUCCAAAGGGCGGGCAGCAGAGAAUCGUAAACGAGUAGCAGACUGGGUUAAUAACAGGCAGACAAACACAAUAAAGAAAGCUCAGAAAUGCAAACCGUAGUAGUACAAGACCUCGCAAUGAUUGCAAGGUUGAGAGCAGCUUAAAUAGUCCAGGUGAUGCGCUGCAGCUGGGUGUGGUAAUUAGUGCCACAUGAAAUGUAGUGCGUGUAUGGAGAUGUGUGAAUGCGUUAGUAUUCGGGUGAUGGCGCCCUCUGAUGGCCAGAGGAGGGAAUCACGGAGUUCGUCUCUGUGACAGAUCAGCAUAAAAAAUGUCUCUGUUCAUUGAAGUCACUGUGAAAGUGUUUUUUUUUUUUUUUUUUUUUUUUUUUAAACAAUGUCCAUUGUGCUUGGAGUAAUAUAAUGUUUGCUGGACAGUAGCAACAGCUCUGUAUUUUCUUUCCAUUUGUAGACUAUUUGUCUUAAUGUGAUGAACACCCAGGUCUUUGGACAUGAUUUUGUAGUUUUUUCCAGCUUUCUACAUCUCUAUAACGUGUCUUUAGGUCCUGUGAAUAUUGUCCGGAUAGAUGAUGGUUCACACUAACCAAUCUAUUUUCAGAAGAACAGAUUUUGACAGAUUUGACAUGUACAACCCACAUUUAUCUUAUUUCCUUAAAAGGGGACCUACUACUGUGAAUGAUUACUCAAUAUCUUCAGUACAUUUAGAAGUGAAGGAGAUAUGACUGAAAGUUGAGAAUCUGUCAAAUAAAUGGCAUAAAGAUUGAUUUCUGUGUGUGUGUUUGCACUUACUUCUAUAAUAUAUACCACAAAUAGUUAAGUACAAAUUGAAACACUUUCACUUUCUGCAUUGCCAUGUGAUUUCAAGGAACUGCUGUGAUGUUAUUUCAAAGAAAUCCUGUGUCAUGUGCUAUAUAAAUACCAGUAGAGAGGUUUCAUUUGCUAUUUGGACCUCUGAAGGUGGACAGAAGAUACAGAAAUCAACGCUCAGGCUUCGAAAAGACAUGACACACAAUUGAUAGCAAAAGCAUCCAGUGGGACUGAUGGUAGCCAGUGACAGCUGCCACCCUAAACAUGAGCUCGCAUAUUGAUGCAUGAACAAUUUUCUGACUUACGUAUGAAGGAGCGUCACUUAUAAUCAACCCUUCUGCAGAUAUUGUCCAAAGAAGAAUUGAAAUCUUUACAUAUCUAAUAUAGCCUACUAAAGCACACUAUUCAUUUGAGUUGCAUCUUCUGUCGGCUGUAAAAUGUUUUUAAAUCUGACAGAGACAGAAAUUGCAUCGCCAAAUCAAUGUACUAUAUUUAAGUUUAUAAAUGUAAAUGUUUUUUCUUCCUUUUUAUUUUUUAAUUGGUUGAAAAUGUUGUUUAGCUGAACAACAAAUGUAAACAUAACACUGCAUUCACACGGGCCGUCAGCGUUAAAGCUUCUCAUUUACUUUGAAUGGGUGCCGUCAUGCAUUGCCGAACUGAAUUGUGGGUUCCAUUGCCUCGCUUCACUCACUUUGCUUGCAGCAGAAGUUAAAGAUUUCUCAACUUUUCAAGCGCCAACGCAGCCAAUCUGAUUGCCUUAUGCAAACACCCUAGAGCAGUUGCUAGACAGUUGCGUUCAUGCAACACUGGAAAGUAAUGUGUUUGGCUGUUGUACUAUAGUCACGUCAGCUUAAGCUUCAGACACGUCCUUCGUCAAGCGUUCACGCCGACGCGCUGUGUGAAUGCAGCGUUAAUCGUAUAGUGAUGUUACUAUCUGCUUAUCUUCACCGAGAGAUGCACCGAUGCAUCGGCCGCCGAUAUUUAUGGACCGGUUUUUGAUCAAUUUACAACCAUCGGUAUAUCGGCUAUAGCAUGAAAAGGCCGAUAUAACAAACCAAUGGUUUAUUAAUUAAGGCACUGAGCUGUAUAAUUUCUGUUGCAUAAUCCAAGAUUAAUCCUAUUAUUCCCACUCUGCUGCUGUCUGCGUUUUAAUGUUAAUCAAACAACAAAAGACAAAAAGAAUUAAUAUGUAUAGGGCCCUAUGAUUUCCGCAAUGCGGAAAACGCAUAUGGAAUCAACGCAAUGUAAUAAUAAUAUAUGAAUUUCAUUUAUACGGUGAAGUAUAUGCAGUGUUAUUUUACAUUUGUUUACUUUAUUUAUGUAUCUGAAGACUGGAGAUGGUCCUCACUGCAGAACACGAGAUCUAGAUCCAACUCCUCCCACUUUACAUAUCCCUAAACCUACCUUCCUCUGCCCCCCUGGAUCUAAACCUACCCAUCUUCAACCCCUGAAUCUGGAUCCAACUCCUCCCACUUUACAUAUCCCUACAUCUACCCGUCUCCACCCCCUGGAUCUAAACCUACCAGUCUCUGCCCUCUGGAUCUCGUGCAGUGAGGGGCUUCUGGGAAACUGUUACAACUCGAGGAGCACGGGCGUGUCUCUGCAGUGGCAUUAUGUCAUCAGCUUGCGAACACAGUUUACAGGGAAAGACCGAUGUAAGCCUGUGGCUGUAGGAUACAGUGUUUCCAAUGCCACUUGUCCUGUAUUUUUUCUUUCAAUAGUGAAUAGACCUAUAUUAAGGGUAACAUUUGUGCAACAGAAUGCAGUGUUAAAUUAAUACACACUAUUUGGUGUGACAUCUGGAUGGCAGCCACAAACAUCUUCAUUCAUGUUGUUUCUUUCUUUUUUAUAUGCAUUAUCUUUCCUUAUGUACUAAUUUCUUAAAAUAUUCAAUAUUCAUUUACUCAUUACUUUUCAUUAUAUUUUACUUUACUGUUACUUUUUGUUUACUUAUGUAUAUGUAAGCCUAUAUAUGUUGUGUGCUGUAUUGUCAUCUCAACUUCACAGUUGUGACUCAUUCAUUUCCUUUUUUUAUUUUGGCAAUGUUACAUUAUACGAUAACAACUGUAGAAUUUAUGCUGGUCAGACAAAGACUAAUCUGGUCUGAUAAAAUUCACCUAAGAUCAUUCAAUAAAAUUUUUUUUUUUUUUUCAUAAAAAUUUGCUUUCUGUUAUUUGUCUGUCUGCAUGUCUUUUGUAAAAGAGUUAACAUGGCAAGCUGUUGACAUGGUGUUGAAUAGGCCAAAAUCUGAUAUGUCAGGUCUAGUGAAGACUGGAUCUUACACAUUUAAUUCCUUAACUUUUCACCUGAUGUAUAACACUGAUAAAACAUUUGGCAUUAAACUUUAUAUAGUUUAAAAGAAAGGCCGCCUAGAAGGCACCAAGUCAAGGCCAAGACCAGAGUGUGUCCAGACCAAGACUUUGAGGGGUUGAGACAGAGACCAAGACCAGACCAGCACUCCUCACAUUCAUCUGAAACAUCCACUGUCUGAGAAAAGUCUUGAUGAAAUAAUAAACAUUAAUUUGAACUACAA